UUGUCGGNGGANGCUUUAUAUUGUAUCGCNGUAUCAGUACGACAUGGUCUCUAUGAUUUAUAUAANCCUUUGCUAUGUUUUUGCAAUGUCUUUUUAUUGNCCGUAAGGCUAGUAAAUCUAUACAACUUUCAGCAACGGAUCUCUUGGCUCUCCCAUCGAUGAAGAACGCANCGAAAUGCGAUAANUAAUGUGAAUUGCACAAUUCACUGAAUCAUCCAAUCUUUGAACGCACCUUGCGCCCUUUGGUAUUCCGAANGGCAUGCUUGUUUGAUGUGUCAUUAAAUUCUCAAAAACCUUUGGUUUGUUCUGAAGAGCUUUUGGAUGUGAGGGCUUGCUGGCUUUCGGGUCUGCUCCCUUUAAAUGCAUUAGUGGAUUCCUUUGAUGAACGGUCACUUGGUGUGAUAAUCUAUCUACGCCGCUUGACUUGAANCAAGCCUUAUGGGAGUUCGCUC
rnacentral:rRNA from 1 species